GGUAACUCAUAUUCCCAUCAAACACUGUUCCAGAGAAAGGUGGAGGCAGUAAUUGGAGGUAAAAUGUUCUUAUUGAAAGGAUUUUCACUCUGCUUUAUCCAAUUAAAUAAUUCCCAUGGUUUGGUAGUAAUAGUCACCAUUUCUAACCCACUGGUCACUGGCAGAUAAACAUGAGUCAAGGAAAGUCAAGAAAAGAAAAUACAUUUGACUGCAU
rnacentral:lncRNA from 1 species